rnacentral:rRNA from 1 species
UAGAGUUUGAUCAUGGCUCAGAUUGAACGCUGGCGGCAGGCCUAACACAUGCAAGUCGAGCGGAAACGACACUAACAAUCCUUCGGGUGCGUUAAUGGGCGUCGAGCGGCGGACGGGUGAGUAAUGCCUAGGAAAUUGCCUUGAUGUGGGGGAUAACCAUUGGAAACGAUGGCUAAUACCGCAUAAUGCCUACGGGCCAAAGAGGGGGACCUUUGGGCCUCUCGCGUCAAGAUAUGCCUAGGUGGGAUUAGCUAGUUGGUGAGGUAAUGGCUCACCAAGGCGACGAUCCCUAGCUGGUCUGGGAGGAUGAUCAGCCACACUGGAACUGAGACACGGUCCAGACUCCUACGGGAGGCAGCAGUGGGGAAUAUUGCACAAUGGGCGAAAGCCUGAUGCAGCCAUGCCGCGUGUAUGAAGAAGGCCUUCGGGUUGUAAAGUACUUUCAGUUGUGAGGAAGGGUGUGUAGUUAAUAGCUGCGCAUCUUGACGUUAGCAACAGAAGAAGCACCGGCUAACUCCGUGCCAGCAGCCGCGGUAAUACGGAGGGUGCGAGCGUUAAUCGGAAUUACUGGGCGUAAAGCGCAUGCAGGUGGUUCAUUAAGUCAGAUGUGAAAGCCCGGGGCUCAACCUCGGAACUGCAUUUGAAACUGGUGAACUAGAGUGCUGUAGAGGGGGGUAGAAUUUCA